AUUGAACGCUGGCGGCAGGCCUAACACAUGCAAGUCGAAUGGUAACAGGAAACAGCUUGCUGUUUCGCUGACGAGUGGCGGACGGGUGAGUAAUGUCUGGGAAACUGCCUGAUGGAGGGGGAUAACUACUGGAAACGGUAGCUAAUACCGCAUAACGUCGCAAGACCAAAGAGGGGGACCUUCGGGCCUCUUGCCAUCAGAUGUGCCAGAUGGGAUUAGCUAGUAGGUGGGUAACGGCUCACCUAGGCGACGAUCCCUAGCUGGUCUGAGAGGAUGACCAGCCACACUGGAACUGAGACACGGUCCAGACUCCUACGGGAGGCAGCAGUGGGGAAUAUUGCACAAUGGGCGCAAGCCUGAUGCAGCCAUGCCGCGUGUAUGAAGAAGGCCUUCGG
rnacentral:rRNA from 1 species